ACUUAUAAAAAAGAAGAUGUGGUAUGAUUGCCAAUGAGACAACUAUCCACAAAAGACCAAAAUGACACAGACAUUAACAACUAUAGGUCACCGUACGGCCCUCAACAAUGAGCAAAGCCCAUACCGCAUAGUCAGCUAUAAAAGGCCCCGAUAAGACAAUGUAAAACAAUUCAAACGAGAAAACUAACGGCCUUAUUUAUGUAAAAAAAUGAACAAAAACAAAUAUGUAACACAUAAACAAACGACAACC
rnacentral:lncRNA from 1 species